AGCUCCAAUAGCGUAUCUUAAUGUUGUUGCAGUUAAAAGCUCGUAGUCGAAUUUCUGGCCGAGAGAAGCCGAAUACACUGUGCUUUCUCUUAGGUCAUCCGCCUUUGAGGCUAUACGGACAUUCAUUUGCUCCUGUAGCGGAUUGGGCAUUUUACUUUGAAGAAAUUAGAGUGUUCAAAGCAUGCUUACGCUUGAAUACGCCAGCAUGGAAUAAUGGAAUAGGACUAGUUUUAUUUCUUGGUUCGUAAAACUAGUAAUGAUUAAUAGGGACAGUUGGGGGCAUUUGAAUUAGUGUGUCAGAGGUGAAAUUCUUCGAUUACACUAGGUCAAACUAAUGCGAAGGCAUCUGCCAAGGAUGUUUUCAUUGAUC
rnacentral:rRNA from 1 species